AACUUAAAGAAAAACAAACUAACAAAAAUGCACUAAGGCUGAGGGGGAGUGGGGGUAAGGGCAGGAGUCACGCUCGGGUGGGUGCGUCCUGGAGUUUUAUCCAAUCAUUGACACUGAUGUGGGAACCGCCCAAUCAGGCGCGCGGUGGCAGAGGAGAGGAAAGGAGGGCGUGGCUUCCUGCAUUUGGCGGGGUCUUUGUCUCUCGCUGGCGCUGGCACAGGAACUUGGGAUCUGUCUCCUCUUUCGCCUCCUGCACCUUGGGAGCCCCGGGCUACUCUCUCACAGCCCUUGUUGCCCUGUGAUCUGAAGGUCCUUGGGGACGCAUAGUUAAGGUGCCAGGACAUCCUGGAAGCUGGGAAAUGAUUGUUGCAGUGUCAGGACCAAGGUCAAAUGAGUUAUAGCCAAGUCUACAGUAAGAUGUGGCAGUAUUCUGUUUUGAAGCCGGGACCACGAUUGGCAAGCUUGCCACUUGGUAAAGUGCUCACCCUCUGAAGAUGUCUUCCUUGGUCUUUGCCUCCAGCUGGGUGUCACAAACUCUGAACUGGAUUCCAAGGCUUUCAUGAAUGCACUUAUGUUUGCUGUGGCAGCUGCAUUAUGUCGUGGGGGAUGUGGAUGCAGAACCUCACAUUCUGUCGUCUUGCUUAUGUUACUCUCCUUUAUGUUUCACUUUCUCAAAUGAAUGUCAAGCAGGUGAUUUUCAGAUUCAAAAGUUCUAAAAUAAAUUGCUCAAAUUUACACAUUAUGUAAGCUGUUAAUAAAAUUUCUUGUAGGUGCUACAUAUUUAUUAAAAUUUUUGGUUGUAAUUUUAAGCUCACUGUAGGCAGAAAGGAAUCAUUAAGAUUUCUAUUCUUUUUUAGUCUGUAUCUAAAUGACCGUAUAUUUUAAUUCCAAGUAUUUACUUUAUACUUCAGUAAUGCUCAUUGUAUUUUGCAAAAUUUAUAUUGUUCUUUUAUUUGAAAAUAUAAGGCUUUUUUUAAGCUCCUGAAAGCUAUAUUAUAGUCAUAUAGUUUUAUUAUAGUAUUUGAUAAGAAGAGCAGCAACAUAUUGAGAACAGAAUAAAAUUCUGCUGUCUUUUUAAUGAUUAUUUAUUAAAUUCUUCUCAUUAGAGCCUAUUAUUAAUGAUUGUAAUGUAUUUUCUGUAUAAUUUUACUGCUAUUUAUUAAAUGCCAAUGACUUCCAAUGUCUGCUUUUCAUGACUGCACACAGUUUAAAGCUGUAGAUAUCUAAAGGGUUAUUUUUCAGCCCGGCACGGUGGCUCAUGCCUGUAAUCCCAGCACUUUGGGAGGCCAAGGUGGGUGGAUCACGAGGUCAGGAGAUCAAGACCAUCCUGGCUAACACGGUGAAACCCCGUCUCUACUAAAUAUAGAAAAAAUUAGCCGGGCAUAGUGGCGGGUGCCUGUAUUCCCAGCUACUCGAGAGGCUGAGGCAGGAGAAUGGCGUGUACCCAGUGGGCGGAGCUUGCAGUGAGCCGAGAUGGCACCACUGCACUCCAGCCUGGGCGACAGGGUGAGACUCUGUCACAAAAAAAAAAAAAGGGCUUAUUUUUCAUUGUAUAUUUAUGUUGUAUUCAGGAUUUUAUGCAUUAAAAUCUCUCUUUUUAUUUUCAA